GUGCCAGCGCUCCUCUCCCAGCGCUCACCGGUCCUUCCAACCGUCCUCAGGUUGCACGCGACCCGCAGUGACCUUCCACUGGGUAGGGGUGGGAAGCCGGUGGCUCCGGGCAGCCGUGAUAACCCGGCACAGAAGCAGAGUCGCAUUUCGGAGCGUCCACCCGUAACGCGGUUUUUCGCACACGGAGCCCGUAGUCCAGGGAAGAGGAGGCCAGGGCGGCCCUGGAGAGGUUGUAGGUGCAGGCGGAUCGGUGAGCCGCUCGGAGCGGAACUCCUUUCCCUGACAGUAGAGUCUCCCCUCCCCCUCCGGGGACCGUUACUGGUCGCCUUCUGAAGGAUCAAUCUGGGAUUGUCCCCUAAAGUGGCCGUAGGCACCGUUAGUCUAGGGCACGCUGGCUUGUGGCCUCAGAAGCUCUGUGUCCUGGGGCCAUUGCAAACCAACCCAGCACUGCAGAAAAACAAGUCCAGCAAUGAAAUGCUUUAAAAGCUGUGACAGCAAGCUGGAUACAAUGUCUCAUACCUGCACUUGGGAAGCUGAAGCAGGAGGACUGCUGAAAGUCUGAGACCAGCCUGGGCUACAUGUGAGACUGUCUCAAAAAACACCCCCCCCCCCAACAAAACAAAACAAAACCAAAACGAGAAAGAAAAAGAAUAACACGAUGUCCUGGUGUCAGUGGCUCUUGGAUCACUCUAGUUUUCUCUACUCUGACUGUAUCAACAAACUAACUCCUUAGAAACCACCAUGUGGCGAUGUGACCUGCAGAUGCCUCAGAAAUAGCUACUGUCUGGCAUCCCGGUCGAGGUUUUGCAUGAUUUCUUUCAUGGCUGCACAUGCUUUUCUUCUUAAGGCUUUGGCUUGGCCUACUUACUAGAAGUGUUCAAUGGCACACAGAUGCUUUCUCUGUACUGUCUAUUCUCACUCUGUCUAGUUCCGCAUUUGAUGUCGCUAUCUUCUCCAGAUACUACAGCUUUGUAUUGUGCUUAAAUGUCUUUGGGUAAAUGCCUGUCUACAUAAUCACUCAUCAUUGUAGGCCUUGCAUCUGUGCUGGCCGUGACAUCCAUAGUCAGAGCUGGGUGAGGCUCUUCUUCAAGGAGGGACAUUACAAGAAAGCCUCUGCUUUCUCCUCCCUUGUGGAACUUCAUGAAAAGCUUGGCUGAAUAAAGCGCAGGAUGGUUUCUCUGAGUCCUGAUAGGAUGAGAACUAUAUCCUUGCAUAGUCCACAGAGCUUCAGGUCCUUUGUCUGCCCUUAGAGGUAUGUCUGCUUCUUUCUCGCCACAAGUCGGAAGCCCAGAAGCACCAGAAAGUGAAGGUCCUUUUUAGAGAACGUAGUCUCUUUUUCUGGUGUGACUACUUUUGUUCUCUGUCUCUCUCCUCUCUUUUAUGUUUUAGCCCAGGCUGUCAUAGAACUUAUCAUCCUGUGGCCACUGCCUCCUGUGUGACCAAAUUGCAUGUGUACACCAGCAUGCCUGGUUUUUGGGUUUGUGCAUGCUCCACAAACACUCUACCAAUUGAGCUAUAUCCCAACCUCCAUUUUGCUUUCUUUAUGAGGGUCCAGGUUUUCAAAUUGGCCCAGUUACAUGCUUGUGUGAAGAGUCACAGAAUGCAUUGGUCAAUGCCACUCUGCAAUUCCCUUUCUUAAAACCAUAUAAUAGAGUUGACCAUUGGCUUGCUUUGGUGAGAAACCUAUGUAGAGAAGCAAGGUAGUCCAGAAAGGAGGCUGGGUCUGUUGCAGUCAAUGGGAUACUCUUUUGUUUUUAGUCUGAGAAGUGCAAUCUAUUGGAGAGAAAGUUUCAGUUGCCCAAUGAUCAGAAGUCUGAGAAAAAAAUGCUUUCAUAGGUGCUAGCUGGUGACUGUGUGUGGGAAAGAGAAGCUGGAAGAGCUAGGCUUGCCCUCUGGCCAAGGGACAGUGCUGAAGGUAGCAGCCUGACAGUGUUUGGGUAUGGGGCAGUGCUGUUGCCCACAUCAAUCUGUGUGAUUGAUUGUGCUCAGCCUUUUCUUCUCUGUUUGAGAUAAUCUUGCACUAUUACAAAAACCAAACCAAACAAAA
rnacentral:lncRNA from 1 species